ACGGAAAAACCAGUGACGUGAGUAGCUUGGGUUCGACCGGAAAAAAACGCGGCAGCCUCCGACGCAGGAAAUCCCGGAAGGCAGCCAGCAGACAGAAGUGUCUCAGGGCGCAGUAUUGUUCUAUCAUCUUUGCGGCUGUUUCAUACAAUUUGCCGCUUCGGUUUUGCCGGACAGAUCGCCUCUAAGCUGCUGGUUGCUCCAUCCGAAUCCGGUCACGGAUUGAAAAGGCCCGCUUCCGUAAAUCGCACGCAAGAAAGAAUACGCUCCUGGAAGAUUGGCGCGUCAAGCGAAGCCAGCACUAGCGGAAAUCGAUUCCAAAACGGGACACCGGAAAAACACCUGGGAAAAGCGAGGAUACCGAGCAUACAAUAGCC